UGACCCUAGGUCAGGCGGGAUUACCCGCUGAGUUUAAGCAUAUCAAUAUGCGAAGGAAAAGAAACUUACCAAGAUUCCCCUAGUAAUAGCGAGCGAACCGAGAAAAGCCCAGCUUGAGAAUCGGGCGGCAUCGGCGUCCGAAUUGUAGUCUGGAGAAGCGUCCUCAGCGGCGAACCAGGCCCAAGUCCCCUGGAAAGGGGCGCCGGAGAGGGUGAGAGCCCCGUCGUGCCCUGAUCCUGUCGUACCACGAGGCGCUGUCUACGAGUCGAGUUAUUUGGGAACGCAGCCCUAAUCGGAUGGUAAAUUCCAUCCAAGGCUAAAUACGAGUGAGAGACCGAUAGUGAACAAGUACAGCGAGGGAAAGAUGAAAAGGACUUUGAAAAGAGAGUCAAAGAGUGCUUGAAAUUGUUGGGAGGGAAGUGGAUGGGGGAGAACGAUGCGCCCCGGUCGGAUGUGGAAUGGUGAGAGCCGGUCCACCGAUCGACUUGGGGUGUGGACCGACGCGAGUCAUGGCAGUGGCCCAAGCCUGGGACUUUGAUACGCUUGUGGAGACGUCGUCGCCUCGAUCGUGGGAUCCAGCACGCGCCUUCUCGGCGUGCUUCGGCACCUGUGUGCUCAGGGCAUCGGCCUGCGGGCUCCCCAUUCAGCCCGUCUUGAAACACGGACCAAGGAGUCUGACAUGUGUGCGGCUCAACGGGCUAGAAAACCCUUAAGGCGCAAGGAAGUUGAUUGGCGGGAUCCCUCGCGGGUGCACCACCGACUGACCUUAAUCUUCUAAGAAGGGUUCGAGUGAGAGCAUGCCUGUCGGGACCCGAAAGAUGGUGAACUAUGCCUGAGCGGGGCGAAGCCAGAGAAAACUCUAGUAGAGGCCCGCAGCGAUACUAGUGUGCAAAUCAUUUGUCUGACUUGGGUUUAGGGGUGAAAGACUAAUCGAAUCAUCGAGUGUCAUGGGUUGCGAAGGGAAACUUGCAACCAUGACGGACUUGUGUGAUUUAUCGCUUUUGAAGAAGGUCAUUUGGCCCAAUCAGACUAGUCCAGUGCUUGGAGAGAUUGGAAGCCCAUCUCUGGAGCUUAGCAAAUAUGAAAAGUAAUAUUCAAAGAUAUGCUUGGCAAAUAUGGAAGGCGAUCUUCAAAGAUAUGUGAUCCUAAACUUUAAUGUAAUCUUUAGAAGAUACGAUUCUGUAAUCUUUAGAGAUUUAAUAUCUUGAUAGCUUUAGAUCUUAGCCAUUGAUGUAUUUCGAUUUGUACCAUUGAUAUUGGGAAGGCUCAACUAUAAAUAGAGGCCGCUCCCCCUUAUUGUAUUCAUUCAAUAAUUAAUAGAAUUUUGAGAGCAUUCACUCAAACUUUUCUCUCAAAUGUUCUUAUUUUUCUGUGGCUUUUGUUCAUCUUUUGAGAUCGUUCUUACUUCGUUCUUCUACUGUUCUUCGUGCAUUCUUUAGAGGAGUUCUAUUGAAUCCUCAAUUGUUGCGAGAUAGGCUAACUUAGCCGUUUUUAAGCGGAGAAAUGCUUAAGGCCGUACGGAUUGCUUGGGAAAACUCUAAGUCCGUGACAGUUGGUAUCCGAGCUAGCGUUCGAAAGCACCAUUGAACGAUGUUGAAAGAAGUUGCGAGAAUGUUGAUGGAAUGGAGACUCGUGGGACGACUAGGAAAGCUAGCCGUUCAAGGGACAUACUGUCGGCUUUGGAAGAUCGAGUCGUCACUCUCGAAGAAUCCGUGGGGGAUGUCAAGGAGAGGGUUGAUGAUAUCGAUGAUAAGGUCAACGAUGGGUUGCAGUCUAUGCAAGAGCAGCUCAAAGAGUAUGUGUUGGAUAAUAUUGAAAAGCUGACGAGUAGGGAUGAUGGCAUCAGGACUAUGAUGGUUGGUAAGACUGAUGCCAUGGAGGCUAUGAUAACGACCUUGAAAGAGGAGAUUGCGGAGUUCAAGGGUGAACUCACAAUCUACAAGGUUGCUUUGGGCAAUGGAGGGUUGGCUGCUGUCACACCCAAGCCCAGUGUGGAUGUUCCCAAGCCAAAGGAGUUUAAGGGAACAAGGUCCGCAAGAGAAGUGGACAAUUUCCUAUGGGAAGUCGAGCAAUACUUUCCUGCCAAGGGCAUUGCUGGUGAUGCCACUAAGGUAAUUACUACUGCUAUGUAUCUUACUGACAUUGCCUUAUUGUAGUGGCAUCGUAGGUCCACCGAUAUGAGACAUGGUGGGACAGAAAUUGGAACUUGGAAGGUGUUUCAAUACGAGUUCAAAGCACAGUUUUAUCCUAAGUAUGCCGAGGAUGAAGCUCGGGCAAAGUUGCAUCGGCUUUCGCAACAAGGCAAUGUAAGAGAGUAUGUGCAGGAGUUUAGUGAACUCAUGCUUCAAAUUUCUGAUAUGGGUGAGAAAGAGGCAUUCUUUUCCUUCAUGGAU
rnacentral:ncRNA from 1 species